CUGUAAAACACUGCAACUUGGAAAGACGCUCAGAAUCAUUUAUAAUGUUUCGGUUUGAAGCUGUCGUCUGCAGACGCGGACUCGCCGGAGAGCAUGAAGAUGAACAUGAGUAUUGUAAAGGACAAGAUCAUGUAUGGAUGGAUGGAUGAGUAUUGCUGGCAUGGCCCCAGAAAAGCUGUCCCUACUUCCCCCCUUAAUGCGCAGCCCUGAACAGGUAAAGGUUCAGAGAGGGCUGCCAAAGGGACAUUUUCUCAAGAAUGGCACGUCUCCUUGUAUUAGUUGGCCA